UACGUAGGGGGCAAGCGUUGUCCGGAAUCAUUGGGCGUAAAGCGCGUGUAGGCGGCUAGGUAAGUCUGCUCUGAAAGCCCGGGGCUCAACCCCGGGAGGCGGGUGGAUACUGUCUAGCUCGAGUCCGGAAGAGGAGUGUGGAAUUCCUGGUGUAGCGGUGAAAUGCACAGAUAUCAGGAGGAACACCGGUGGCGAAGGCGGGUCUCUGGGCCGAUACUGACGCUGAGGAGCGAAAGCGUGGGGAGCGAACAGG
rnacentral:rRNA from 1 species